rnacentral:rRNA from 1 species
GAUGAACGCUAGCGGCAGGCCUAACACAUGCAAGUCGAGGGAUAAGCCUUCGGGCUAAGACCGGCGCACGGGUGCGUAACGCGUAUACAAUCUGCCUUUUAUCCGGGGGAUAGCCCGAAGAAAUUUGGAUUAAUACCCUAUGGUAUAAGAGCACGGCAUCGUGCACUUAUUAAAGCUACGGCGGUAAAAGAUGGGUAUGCGUUCUAUUAGCUCGUUGGCGAGGUACCGGCUCCCCAAGGCGACGAUAGAUAGGGGUACUGGGAGGGAUGUCCCCCACAUGGGUACUGAGAUACGGACCUGGCUCCUACGGGACGCAGCAGUGUGGUAUAUUGGGCAGUGGUCGGGAGACUGAUCCAGCCAUGCCGCGUGCAGGAUGACGGCCUUAUGUGUUGUAAACUGCUUUUGUAAGGGAAGAAUAAGGAGUACGUGUACGUUGAUGACGGUACCUUACGAAUAAGCAUCGGCUAACUCCGUG